GCGGACGUAGUUUAAUGGUAAAAUGUUGGCUUGCCAGGCCAAAGACAAGGGUUCGACUCCCUUCGUCCGCA
rnacentral:tRNA from 1 species